GAAAUGCGAUAAGUAAUGCGAAUUGCAGAAUUUCCGUGAGUCAUCGAAUCUUUGAACGCACAUUGCGCCCACUGGUAUUCCGGUGGGCAUGCCUGUUCGAGCGUCAUUAUCCUCUCUCCAAAACCCCCUGGGGUUUCGGGCGUUGGACCGAGUUGUGGCAACGCAACUGGUCUCAAAGACAAUGACGGCGUCCGUGGGACCCUCUUCGCAACGAGUCUUUCGAGGCACGCGGGGAGUUGCAAGGUCUUUCCGGGCCGGUCUACACCUUUUUUACUUUAUUAGGUUGACCUCGGAUCAGGUAGGAAUACCCGCUGAACUUAA
rnacentral:misc_RNA from 1 species